rnacentral:rRNA from 1 species
AUUGAACGCUGGCGGCAGGCUUAACACAUGCAAGUCGAACGAGUGGCGGACGGGUGAGUAAUGCUUGGGAAUCUGGCUGAUGGAGGGGGAUAACUACGGGAAACUGUAGCUAAUACCGCGUACCAUAAGAUGAGCCCAAGUGGGAUUAGGUUGUUGGUGGGGUAAAGGCUCACCAAGCCGACGAUCUCUAGCUGGUCUGAGAGGAUGACCAGCCACACUGGGACUGAGACACGGCCCAGACUCCUACGGGAGGCAGCAGUGGGGAAUAUUGCGCAAUGGGCGCAACCCUGAUGCAGCCAUGCCGCGUGAAUGAAGAAGGCCUUCGGGUUGUAAAGUUCUUUCGGCAGGGAGGCGUUACCCACAGAAGAAGCACCGGCUAACUCCGUGCCAGCAGCCGCGGUAAUUC